UUGGCAGGGUUCGAAAAAUUAAAAAAAAAAAAAAAAAACCUGGGAUUUUGUUUUCCAGCGGAAUUUGAAUUGUGUGAAGUUAGAUGUGAUAUGGUACGGUAACACCUCGCAGUUACACAGUAGAGCGUGAAAGAAAGAAGAUAACAGAAAAAAGAAAAAUCAGAACCUCUUCCACACCCAAUCUUUCUUCUCUCACCAAACCCAAACCCAAACCCAAACCCUUUUUUCUUCCCUCUUUUCAAAAAUCACAACCCUAGAACACAAAAACAAAAACCCGUGUGUUUUUGUGUUUUUGUUUUUGAUUUUUCCCAGAAACACAGAGACAGAGAGAGAGAGAAUGAUCGAUUGAUGAGUUGUGGAGAGGAAUAGGAAUCGAUCGAUCGUUCACAAUUCCAGACCAGAGGCAUUGGCCAGUAGUGGCGGCAGGAGGAGUGUUGCAGUGGAGCAUUUUACCUCAAUUAAGGAUUGCCCCAAAUUCAAUGUUCUCAACCCCAUUUGUGUUAACCUUCUCCCUCCUCCUCUCCCUCCCAAUCCUCUUCUUCCUUGCUCCAAGGAUCCUUCCUCCCAAACCCCACUCUCUACCAAUCUCACCCUCCGACGAACUCGAUGACAUCAACCUCUUCAACCGCGCCAUCACCCUCGCCAAUUCUCGCGCCUCCACCGCCUCCGCCACCAACCCCUCCAAAUUCUUCCAUCUCUCAUCCAAAAACCCCUCUCUCAAAAUAGCCUUCCUUUUCCUCACAAACACCGAUCUCCACUUCUCACCCCUCUGGGACCUCUUCUUCCACGACACCCCUUCCAACCUCUUCAACAUCUACAUCCACGCCGACCCCUCCGUCAACAUCACGCGCCCUCUCUCGCCCCUCUUCGCCAACAAAUUCAUCCCCUCCAAACGCACCUUCCGCGCCUCCCCCACCCUCAUCUCCGCCACGCGCCGCCUCCUCGCCACUGCCCUCCUCGACGACCCCGCCAACGCCUACUUCGCCCUCCUCUCCCAGCACUGCGUCCCUCUCCACUCCUUCACCUACACCUACCACUCCCUCCUCGUCUCCCCCACCUUCGACUCCUCCGAUCCUGAAUCCUCCCGCAUCGGCAUCCGCCUCAAGUACAAAUCUUUCAUCGAAAUCCUCUCCCACGCUCCUAGGCUCUGGAAACGGUACUCCUCCCGCGGCCGCUACGCCUUGAUGCCCGAAGUCCCCUUUGAAAAGUUCCGCGUCGGCUCCCAAUUCUUCGCCCUCACGCGCCGCCACGCUCUCCUCGUCGUCAAGGACCGAACCCUCUGGAGGAAAUUCAAGAUCCCCUGUUACCGCGACGACGAAUGCUACCCCGAGGAGCAUUACUUUCCCACGCUCUUGUCCAUGGCAGAUCCUGAUGGCUGCACCAAAUACACGCUCACCAGAGUUAAUUGGACCGGCACCGUCAACGGACACCCCUAUACUUACCGGCCUUCGGAAGUCUCGUCGGAACUCAUUCUCCGGCUCCGCCAGUCCAAUAAUUCUGAGUCUUACCUAUUCGCCAGGAAAUUCACCCCGGAUUGCUUGGAACCCUUGAUGCGCAUUGCCAAAUCUGUCAUCUUCAAGGAUGGAAAUUUCAAGCACGCAGGUGGAAAAGGUCAAUGAAAAGAUUUAUGAAAAGAUCAUAUUGCUUUGGCCAUGGCUUGAUGGUGGUGUAUAGUUUGAAGAGGCACGUACAGCCCACAUCCUAUAUAUCCCGUGCUUUCAAAUUACUAAAGAGAGAAUCAGAUCAAAAUAGGAAGAGCCAAGAAACAGAUAAGCAUAAAUGGCUUCUAUAACCCACGACAAAAUUGAAACUUGUCGGUGCUGCUGGUUCUGUUCUCUUUCUCAAUAAAAAAAAUGGACCCCAGAGGACAGGAAAGUCGCAAACUUCUGAUGUGUGGGGGACCACGCCUCACGUAGAGACAGUUGGCUUCCAUUUAGUUAUCUAGACACGUUGUACACAGACAAGAGAUCAACUUCUAGUUUGUAUCUCUGAAUUCACUGAGAUUUCCUUUUUAUUUUUAACCUCAUUCUGAAACCUGACAAAAAUAUAGUAAGUUAUUUUGUUAUUUUAGGAUGUCGGUGUUGGUUAAUCCUGUGAACUAUUUUAAAGUGUUUUCAUUUACUCAAUACAGUAUAUAAUAUGAUUGAACCCCCCUCUGUACAGCAACAUUUGAACUGUAACCUUCACAG